UACAGAGGGUGCGAGCGUUGUUCGGAAUUAUUGGGCGUAAAGGGCGCGUAGGCGGCCACGCACGUCCGUUGUGAAAUCGCCCGGCUCAACUGGGCGGGGUCAGCGGAUACGGUGUGGCUCGAGCAAGCUAGGGGGCAAUGGAAUUCCCGGUGUAGUGGUGGAAUGCGUAGAUAUCGGGAGGAACACCAGUGGCGAAGGCGGUUGCCUGGAGCUUUGCUGACGCUGAGGCGCGAAAGCGUGGGGAGCGAGUCGG
rnacentral:rRNA from 1 species